UUAAGCGACUAAGCGUACACGGUGGAUGCCCUGGCAGUCAGAGGCGAUGAAGGACGUGCUAAUCUGCGAUAAGCGUCGGUAAGGUGAUAUGAACCGUUAUAACCGGCGAUUUCCGAAUGGGGAAACCCAGUGUGUUUCGACACACUAUCAUUAACUGAAUCCAUAGGUUAAUGAGGCGAACCGGGGGAACUGAAACAUCUAAGUACCCCGAGGAAAAGGAAUCAACCGAGAUUCCCCCAGUAGCGGCGAGCGAACGGGGAGCAGCCCAGAGCCUGAAUCAGUAUGUGUGUUAGUGGAAGCGCCUGGAAAGGCGCGCGAUACAGGGUGACAGCCCCGUACACAAAAAUGCACAUGCUGUGAGCUCGAUGAGUAGGGCGGGACACGUGGUAUCCUGUCUGAAUAUGGGGGGACCAUCCUCCAAGGCUAAAUACUCCUGACUGACCGAUAGUGAACCAGUACCGUGAGGGAAAGGCGAAAAGAACCCCGGCGAGGGGAGUGAAAAAGAACCUGAAACCGUGUACGUACAAGCAGUGGGAGCACGCUUAGGCGUGUGACUGCGUACCUUUUGUAUAAUGGGUCAGCGACUUAUAUUCUGUAGCAAGGUUAACCGAAUAGGGGAGCCGAAGGGAAACCGAGUCUUAACUGGGCGUUAAGUUGCAGGGUAUAGACCCGAAACCCGGUGAUCUAGCCAUGGGCAGGUUGAAGGUUGGGUAACACUAACUGGAGGACCGAACCGACUAAUGUUGAAAAAUUAGCGGAUGACUUGUGGCUGGGGGUGAAAGGCCAAUCAAACCGGGAGAUAGCUGGUUCUCCCCGAAAGCUAUUUAGGUAGCGCCUCGUGAAUUCAUCUCCGGGGGUAGAGCACUGUUUCGGCAAGGGGGUCAUCCCGACUUACCAACCCGAUGCAAACUGCGAAUACCGGAGAAUGUUAUCACGGGAGACACACGGCGGGUGCUAACGUCCGUCGUGAAGAGGGAAACAACCCAGACCGCCAGCUAAGGUCCCAAAGUCAUGGUUAAGUGGGAAACGAUGUGGGAAGGCCCAGACAGCCAGGAUGUUGGCUUAGAAGCAGCCAUCAUUUAAAGAAAGCGUAAUAGCUCACUGGUCGAGUCGGCCUGCGCGGAAGAUGUAACGGGCUAAACCAUGCACCGAAGCUGCGGCAGCGACACUAUGUGUUGUUGGGUAGGGGAGCGUUCUGUAAGCCUGCGAAGGUGUGCUGUGAGGCAUGCUGGAGGUAUCAGAAGUGCGAAUGCUGACAUAAGUAACGAUAAAGCGGGUGAAAAGCCCGCUCGCCGGAAGACCAAGGGUUCCUGUCCAACGUUAAUCGGGGCAGGGUGAGUCGACCCCUAAGGCGAGGCCGAAAGGCGUAGUCGAUGGGAAACAGGUUAAUAUUCCUGUACUUGGUGUUACUGCGAAGGGGGGACGGAGAAGGCUAUGUUGGCCGGGCGACGGUUGUCCCGGUUUAAGCGUGUAGGCUGGUUUUCCAGGCAAAUCCGGAAAAUCAAGGCUGAGGCGUGAUGACGAGGCACUACGGUGCUGAAGCAACAAAUGCCCUGCUUCCAGGAAAAGCCUCUAAGCAUCAGGUAACAUCAAAUCGUACCCCAAACCGACACAGGUGGUCAGGUAGAGAAUACCAAGGCGCUUGAGAGAACUCGGGUGAAGGAACUAGGCAAAAUGGUGCCGUAACUUCGGGAGAAGGCACGCUGAUAUGUAGGUGAAGUCCCUCGCGGAUGGAGCUGAAAUCAGUCGAAGAUACCAGCUGGCUGCAACUGUUUAUUAAAAACACAGCACUGUGCAAACACGAAAGUGGACGUAUACGGUGUGACGCCUGCCCGGUGCCGGAAGGUUAAUUGAUGGGGUUAGCGCAAGCGAAGCUCUUGAUCGAAGCCCCGGUAAACGGCGGCCGUAACUAUAACGGUCCUAAGGUAGCGAAAUUCCUUGUCGGGUAAGUUCCGACCUGCACGAAUGGCGUAAUGAUGGCCAGGCUGUCUCCACCCGAGACUCAGUGAAAUUGAACUCGCUGUGAAGAUGCAGUGUACCCGCGGCAAGACGGAAAGACCCCGUGAACCUUUACUAUAGCUUGACACUGAACAUUGAGCCUUGAUGUGUAGGAUAGGUGGGAGGCUUUGAAGUGUGGACGCCAGUCUGCAUGGAGCCGACCUUGAAAUACCACCCUUUAAUGUUUGAUGUUCUAACGUUGACCCGUAAUCCGGGUUGCGGACAGUGUCUGGUGGGUAGUUUGACUGGGGCGGUCUCCUCCUAAAGAGUAACGGAGGAGCACGAAGGUUGGCUAAUCCUGGUCGGACAUCAGGAGGUUAGUGCAAUGGCAUAAGCCAGCUUGACUGCGAGCGUGACGGCGCGAGCAGGUGCGAAAGCAGGUCAUAGUGAUCCGGUGGUUCUGAAUGGAAGGGCCAUCGCUCAACGGAUAAAAGGUACUCCGGGGAUAACAGGCUGAUACCGCCCAAGAGUUCAUAUCGACGGCGGUGUUUGGCACCUCGAUGUCGGCUCAUCACAUCCUGGGGCUGAAGUAGGUCCCAAGGGUAUGGCUGUUCGCCAUUUAAAGUGGUACGCGAGCUGGGUUUAGAACGUCGUGAGACAGUUCGGUCCCUAUCUGCCGUGGGCGCUGGAGAACUGAGGGGGGCUGCUCCUAGUACGAGAGGACCGGAGUGGACGCAUCACUGGUGUUCGGGUUGUCAUGCCAAUGGCACUGCCCGGUAGCUAAAUGCGGAAGAGAUAAGUGCUGAAAGCAUCUAAGCACGAAACUUGCCCCGAGAUGAGUUCUCCCUGACUCCUUGAGAGUCCUGAAGGAACGUUGAAGACGACGACGUUGAUAGGCCGGGUGUGUAAGCGCAGCGAUGCGUUGAGCUAACCGGUACUAAUGAACCGUGAGGCUUAACCUU
rnacentral:rRNA from 1 species